UGACCGAGCAACGCCGCGUGAGUGAAGAAGGUUUUCGGAUCGUAAAACUCUGUUGUUAGAGAAGAACAAGGAUGAGAAUAAAACGUUCAUCCCUUGACGGUAUCUAACCAGAAAGCCACGGCUAACUACGUGCCAGCAGCCGCGGUAAUACGUAGGUGGCAAGCGUUGUCCGGAUUUAUUGGGCGUAAAGCGAGCGCAGGCGGUUUCUUAAGUCUGAUGUGAAAGCCCCCGGCUCAACCGGGGAGGGUCAUUGGAAACUGGGGAACUUGAGUGCAGAAGAGGAGAGUGGAAUUCCAUGUGUAGCGGUGAAAUGCGUAGAUAUAUGGAGGAACACCAGUGG
rnacentral:rRNA from 1 species